CAGCCUGUACCCUCCAUGUGCCCGCCCGCUUGUCUCCUACUAUUAACCUCAAGGCAACAGUUAUCUGGAUACCACAAACGGCUUUUCAAAACUACCCAAUGGUGAAAAAUGAGCAUAAUCCUCCAGAAGAGAACGGUUGGGGAAAAUAGUGCUGUUCGUGUCACCCUCGCCAGUUUGGGUUCCUAAAAGGUCUGUCAACUUGUCGGAAUACCUGCUCAAACUUCUUCUGUCC